rnacentral:lncRNA from 1 species
ACGCGAGGACAGCAAUCCCAUGGGUAGUUCCGUUUGGUUUGAGCAGCUUGUCGAGGCGGAUAGAUGGCCGACCUAUGAGUUCUCCCUCCAACCAUCUUAUUGUACCGACGAGUAUUGGCGGUUGUACUAUUUUCUCAUCUCCUAUUCUGGCUGCUAAUUACUUAUUCCUAACCCAUCUGACCUCUCCAUCCUGGUUGUUGUUUGAGUACAGGUGCGUCUCAAUCACCGAUUGUAUGAACUAAAUUUGCAUUGUAUGAUUGAGAUUUGUUCCAUUGUGCUUGGUUCUGCAGGUUAAACAGCUCACGGUAGUAUUUUUUAUGAUUGUGCAUGUGUUCCUCUUCUAAAUAUGGGCAACUAAUGCUACUGCUUUGCAGCCUUCCAUGUGCUUGAUGGAAUGCUUGGCUGCAC